UUGAACAAUGAUGAUGACUGCAGGUUUUUGUGCUAUAGUUAAUAAAUAAUUCUGGAACUCUGAUCUUUUU